rnacentral:rRNA from 1 species
CCCUUAGAUGUUCUGGGCCGCACGCGCGCUACACUGAUGCAUUCAACGAGUUUCUUCCUGGUCCGAGAGGAAUGGGUAACCUUUUGAAAGUGCAUCGUGAUAGGGAUAGACUAUUGCAAUUAUUGGUCUUCAACGAGGAAUUCCUAGUAGACGUAGUUCAUCAGACUGCGUCGAUUACGUCCCUGCCCUUUGUACACACCGCCCGUCGCUCCUACCGAUUGGGUGUGCUGGUGAAAUGUUCGGAUCGGCCGUUUGUCGCGGUUUCCGCGUCAUGUGGCUGAGAAGUUCAUUAAACCCUCCCACCUAGAGGAAGGAGAAGUCGUAACA